rnacentral:rRNA from 1 species
CCCUUAGAUGUUCUGGGCCGCACACGCGCUACACUGAAGGAGGCAGCGUGUACUCCUGGAUCGAAAGAUUUGGGUAACCCGCGAAUCUCCUUCGUUCUAGGGAUUGAGGUUUGCAAUUAUCCUUCAUGAACGAGGAAUUCCCAGUAAGUGCAAGUCAUAAGCUUGCGCUGACUACGUCCCUGCCCUUUGUACACACCGCCCGUCGCUACUACCGAUUGAAUGAUUUAGUGAGGACUUCGGACUGGGACCGAUGCGGCUUUCGGGCUGCGUCGGUAUUCUGGAAAGAUGUCCAAACUGUAUCAUUUAGAGGAAGUAAAAGUCGUAACA